AACGAACGCUGGCGGCGUGCUUAACACAUGCAAGUCGAACGAGAAGGCCCUGCUUAGUGGGGGUGCGCGGGUUGCGAACGGGUGAGUAACACGUGGGUAACCUGCCCCUCACUGUGGGAGAACUUAAUGAAACUUGGUCUAAUAGCGGAUAGGAUCUCCUGCUUCUUGGUGGGGGUGGGUUGGUUUCGGCGGUUGGUGAUGGACUAGCGGCUUGUUAGCUUGUUGGUGGGGUAGUGGAUUACCAAGGCUAGGCCGGGUAGCAGUCCUGAGAGGGUGACCGGACACAUUGCGACUGAGAUACGGCACAGCCUCCUACGGGAGGCAGCGGUGGGGAAUAUUGUACAAUGGGAGGAAGGCUGAUGUAGUAAAGCCGCGUGCGGGAUGACGGCAUUCGGGUUGUAAACCGCUUUCGCCUGUCACGAAGCGUGAGUGACGGUAAUGGGUAAAGAAGCACCGGCUAACUACGUG
rnacentral:rRNA from 1 species